rnacentral:sRNA from 1 species
UUUUAGCCCUGAUAGAAAUGGAAAUCCUUUUGCUUUUUUCUUUAAAAAGGAAAAGAUUGUAGAGGAUAGCAGGAAUAGCU